GCGAGUACGUCAUUAACAUGGCGCCAAGAGCCGCGCGGCUCGGCGCGGCGCGGGGCGAGGGGAGGGAGGCGGCCGAGCGGCGGCUCCGCUAUCCCACCACCAACUUGUGCCGGGCCGGGGCGCUGCGAGCCGGGAGGGGACGGCGGGAGGGGGGUUGCCGGGCCGCGGGCGCGGCGCGGGCGGGCGGCGCUGCGGGGGCGCCGGGGAAAGCCUCGGGGCGCCGGCGUGCGCGGCCCCCCGCGGGCGGCGGGGAGCGCCGGAGCCGGUCGGCGGGCGGAUGGCAGCGGCACGGUGCGCGGCGAGGGCCGGGGGAGCCGCCGGCAGCGCCUGUCACCGCGGCGCCCGCACGUCCCGCAGCAGCGAGCGCGGGGGCCCGAGGCGGCUGCGGCUCGGCGCUGGGGCUGCCCCCCGGCCGCGCUCGGCUUCGCUCGGGGGAAGAGAGGGAAAACGCUUCGAGAGCGUAAAAACUGCUCGGGGGUGAAAUCGAGCGCGAGUCGCCCGGCGGGGCGCAGGUGGCAGGUGGCCGCACGCGUGCGGGUCCCAGCCGAGCCGGGGCAGCGGGCAGCAGGUGCAGGCGCCGGGCGCCCACCCACGUGUGCGGGCUGCCGGGGGCGGCUCGGUCACCCCGGGCGGGUCCCGCCGGCGAGCGGGCGGCGGCGGGGCAGCGGCGGGCAGCGCAGCAACUUGGCUGGGCGCGAGGCGCGGCAGCUCCGGCGGUUGCGCCCCUCGCCCCAACGAGACAAAAGCCGCGCCUUGCCCGCGCAGGGGAUGCUCGCGGGGCUCUCUUCUUUUUUUUUUUUUUUUACUUUUUUUUUUUCUUUUUUUCCUUGCCCCUCGGCGCCCGCCAGUUCGCUGCCGCUCCGUCGCGGGGCUUUCGUUAUUUCGGGGAGGGCGGAGGCGCAGCGUGUUUGUUUGUUUGCACCGCCUGCUGGCUGCCUCCCUGUGACAAGAGGUGAUACACAGUUUCCAGAACUGUCUGGGAGUGGGAGGAGAGACGGGCACGGAGAGGGAGCCCGAGCCGCCGCCGUGCCGCCGUCCCGGCCCCCCCCGCCGCGGGGAGGCGGGGAAGGCGCCUCGGCCGCGCUCGGCAGCGCCGGGGCUGCGGGGGAGAGGGCGCGGAGCCGGGGGCACCAAGUUUGA
rnacentral:lncRNA from 1 species